CAGCAAGCGCCCGGUUCCUCCAGCUUCAUAGUCUUCGUCCGAGUCACAGGAUCGAUCUACUUCCUCUAUGUGAGCGUCCUGCACAGGUAAGCUGGGGACUGGUGUCAGUGGCAUGCAGUGUGCAGUUUGGAGGUGGCACUGUGAGGAAGCUCAUGAAAUACCUUGUCCUCGUGGCUCCUGUAAUAGUAGAACGUUUUCCCAACCAGGGCACACCAGACCAGCUUGGAGUGGCCAUGCUUUACCUCCAUAUCUAAACCCCACACCACACAGUCUAUCUAAAAUCCAGCUGCUCCGAGCUGGCUCACCUGAAACGUCUGCGCUUCUUCCCCUCGGACAAUCUGGCAAUGAGAAUUCAGAUCCACUUGACCCUGAGGUUUCCGGAUGACGUCACUCUGUAAAGGAAGGAGUGAAGAGGGAGCACUGGAGCCAGUGGCUUCUCAGAUCACCAUGUCUUACGCCAGGUCACAGGCUCAAAGGAAAAGGUGGUUCCCAGGCUUUCCUGGCUAUGGUACAAUGAGUGACUUGUUCUAGGUUUUUAUUCUAGCAAAAUAAUUAGGAGCAUGAAACCCUCUAACCCAGGCCUCAAAAGAUCUCAAAAAGGAGAGUAUGACUUUAAAAUUGGAUCAGAAACCCAUCUAUAAAGCCCUCCUACUCCUCUGACCAAGCUACGUGUGGUGACCUGUGCCGACAGACCCGCCUACUUAGUGGGCCAUGGCAGGAGGCUUAGUCAAAGGACAUAGCAGGGGACUGACAUCCGGAAACUUGCUUGAGAGCCGCAGUCAUCGUCAGACCCGGAGGACUCAUCCACAAAAGGCACAUUGCUGAUCUGUGUGGCUUUCUGCAAGACAGGAGCCUCCCCAGCUCCAGUUUCUAAGCAAGGCCUCUGCCCACAACAGCUGUAUCUACUUUGGUAUGCCUACAUAGUCUGGGGAGACACGAGGCCCUCACCCAGCUGAGGCACUGCUGACCAGAGAUACGAUCUACUGUAAAUCAGUGGAAGGGGACCUAAGGUAAAAGUGUCGUCUACUCCAGAAAUACUACACAGAAAACAUGGAAGGGUGGACUACUCAGGUGAGUAACCAAGGCAUAAAUGUGUACAGGAUCCCUGUGUGUGCGUGCAUCUGCCUGCACAUCUGCAGCUUCAUCUGAAGGCCUUGCAGAAUAAGCAUCGCACACUGACAAGUGUUGGCUUCGAGGUUAGCAACUGGGGAAAGCAAUGUGAACGAAACUUCUGUGUUUUUAUUCUUCUAAGAAAAAUCUUUGUCAAGCAUUACUAAUAUUACUAUUAUGAUUUAAAAAUGAAUAACAAGAGCUGGGAGUGUAGCUCAAUGGUACAUUAUCUGCCCAGCAAGAGGAGGCCCUGUGUUCUAACUCAGGCACUGCAAAAACCAUCAAAACCCACUGGCAAAAAGAUGCAGAUAUCACGCUGAAGUGAUGAAAAAAGGAUGAGUGGACAGUGCUCUUGCUCCUUCCUCAGCCCAGUUCCCCCAUGCAGUGAACUGAAUAAACUCGUUUUCUUCCAAAAAGAAAACCACGCAAAGUAGGCUGAGCUCCCUGACUAUGAUCCUCAUGUGAAGGUGCCUGACCCUCCAGCCAAUGUGAGCACUGCCCUGGGACUAGGGGGCUCCUACUGGUGGGGACGGCCUCUCUAUUCCGGGCAGUUGCUUACCCCCUUCAGUGCUGUGUAGACAGGCACAGUGACAUUCUUGUAGACAAGGCCAGAGAAAGCUCCAGGGAAUGCAAGGGCAGGUGGCCCCGAAGCUGAGGGGGGAAAGAGGGAAGCAAUGAACUCAGGAGGCACAACUCAGCCAGAAGCUCAGGGAGGCAACUGGGCAAAAGGCUCAAUUAGUUCCUCUCCCUGCUUAUUGUUCUCCACAGAUAAAGAACCCGUCACCACAGAACCCAGGCAUCACCCUUAACCAUUCCCACUCCAGGAAGCUUGUACCAUGUCCCACUCUUGUUGAAGCAGUCAGCUGCCUGCUGCACCCAGGGAGGGGAUGCCAGGCCCAUCAGGAGACUUGUAGGUCCUUACACCCCACCUGUACUCACCGUAGCA